rnacentral:misc_RNA from 1 species
CGGACAGAAAAACAGUUAUGAACUUAAUAUAACAAGCUUAAUUCUUCAUAGUUCACUGCCAGAAAAGGAAGUACACCAAGCAAAAAAAAAAUACAUGUCCACUUAAUUAACAUACAAUAUUCAAGAGUCUUAGCUCAUGCAACAAGUAAUUAAUAAUAUGGUAUACAUACUUAAGUUCCAUCAAUCUUCAAGCUUAAUAGCAGUCUUCUUUUGUGGAUUAUAUGUAGAUCACAUCAGAAAGAAGACAAUCUCUCAAGCACAUUAGACUAGUUGAAUAGGGGGUUGGUCUUGUCUAGGGUAAUGGUUGUUGGUUUGCAAUCCAUUAACUUGUAGAUAGUUUCGAGUAUCGAAUUGCUGAGGUGGAGGCACAAGCUCAUGAUAGUUUGAUGAACUCCCUGGCAUCAAGUUCAUCUGCUGAUGCUGAUGCUGAGCUCUCUCAGUUUCAGCAAUCUUUGCUCUCAGGUACUGAUUGUUGUUGUGUAAAUCAACUUCCCUCUUCUGCAUAUACUCAAUUUCAGCAAACAACAGCUCAUUCUUUUUGGAUCGGAUUUUGCUAAUCCCUUUUUCAAUUCUUUGCUCCAGAUUCUUCAGUUCUUUGAGUUUCAUUCCAGCAAGAGCUUCACCCAUCAUGUUCCUGUUUUGGUUCAUCAGAUUUCCAAUUUGUGCGCGCAGUUUGGAGGCUUCUUGCUGGUAAUACUGAGCAUUGGCCUCGGAUACUGAACCAGUAUUUGAGGAAUCUGAGCAUGCUUUCUUGUACCUCUCGAUUGUUGCUUUCACACUGUUGUUGGCAUACUCAUAGAGUCUGCCUCUGUUUGAGAAGACAACCAAAGCAACCUCAGCAUCACAGAGCACAGACAAUUCAUAAGCCUUUUUAAGCAAACCAUUGCGCCUCUUGCAGAAUGUUACUUGUCGAUUCGUCGUGUUUUCGAUCCUUUUGAUCUCAAUUUUCCCCCUUCCUAGUUUCCUUUGUGGUGAGAUCUCUCUGGUUAGAUCACUUUGGAAGUCCAUUACUUCACCUUGUAAGGAAAGGAAAGAGAAGAUUUUUAAGUUUUUUGGUUGCAAAUUAGUAUAUAAUAUAUGAAGAGGAUUUUGUAGAUGCAGAAAAUGG